CCACAUGGACCUACUACUGUGAAUAUGAUGGUCUCCUCUGAUCUUGGAAGCUAAGCAGAGUUGGGCCUGGUUAGUGUUUGCAUGGGAGAGUACUCAGGGUAGCAAAGA
rnacentral:rRNA from 1 species